AUGCACAGCAAGCCCAGCUUUAAUCCCAAACUAGGCUCACGACAGGCUUCCGGGACCCGGGGAACCUGGUGGGGGUGCUGCUCAGGGGCCAGCCAGUGGGUCUCUGGCCACUGCCCCGGGGGGAGCCUGCCACCCCCAGACGGGUUCCCUCCCAUCCCCCUGCCAGGGGAGCAGCAUCCUGGGGGUCAGUGCCCCCACACUGUGGUGGGGACAAGAGUGGGUUCCCACCACGGAGCUGGACGUCACAGAGCCUCCACUUUCCAUCCUGAAUCGUGUUUGGCUCCGACAACAUUCCUCGUCUGGACAUUUGCUGAGGGCACCAGCACUGGUGGGGGCAGACUCCGCCCCCACCCAGAGACGUUGGGGGACAAAGGGGAGUCUGGGUGAUGCUCUGCGGAGACCCUCUUCAGGAAGUCUUCUGCAAGCUUCUGGCCAGAUACAUAGGGAGCUGACUUCAUUUCGGCCACGACUGACGGGCAGGAAGUGUCAUUACCUAAAUGGGCCGAUGGGCCGAUAAGAAGCCCAAGGAGAAAGCCGUCCUCAGGCCUCGGCCCUGGGGAACCAGCAGGAAAGGCCAGCGUGUCAGGGCCUCGGGCAGGGAGGAUCCGUCCCAGAGCUCGGGCAGUCCACGCUGCCCCUCCCGCGUCCCCCGUGGGCCUCCGGAACAUGCGAAUGUACCAGGGCAGAAAAGUCCCUGAGUGUCAGAACAAGGGCCCCUCCCUAAAAUAUUCACACUUAAAAAUAUUAUGAUCGAAGCUAAUAGUCCCACGAUGGGGAAAUCGUUCUAAGAAGAAAAGGUUUGAGGGCGUGGACAGUUGCCCCAUACUCAGCCGUCAAAACCCGCUUCGUGGAAUCCCUCCCUCUGCCCGAGAACCACACCCGAUCGCUGUCGGGCGUGUGAUUAAGUCGAAGAAUGUUAGCUUCACACCUGCAUUCGGGCGGAGGACAUCUUUCAGGCCCUGCAGGGCAGAAACGGCUCCCCAAGACGGAAGCCGCUGUCCUCGGCCCUGAGGGGGAGCGAGGGGGCCCAGCCCUCAGAGAGGACAGGCAGGCUGGUCCACGUAGAACAGCACAGUAGGCCGUGGUCACCGCUGUUAUUUCCACAGCCCCCACCUCCCCGCUCCUGCUUCCCCCCCCUGGAGAUGCCGGGGGCUCCCGGGGCAGCAGCCACAUCGCCCCUCCUCUGGCAUCUAGAGGCCGCCGGGCCCACGGGAUGGCAGGAUGGUGGCCGUGGACACGAGCCAGGCCUCUGGGCCAGAGUGCCACGGAAUCGCGUGGCCGCCCAGGAGCAGGGCCGGGGCUCGGUGCACACGGGCCCUCCAGCCGACCGGCCGUACCCACCUGAUGUAUCCGCGUGCGGGAAACAUUCCUCUCCUCUACCCAGCCCCCUCCUUUCUGGAAGGGCUCUCU
rnacentral:lncRNA from 1 species